AUAAAUUCGAGGUUUUGCAUAGCCAGAAUAAAUCUCAUUCACUCAAUCAAAAUUGAAGCUAUUCGAAAUGACUAAGUUUUCAUUCAUGCCAAUUCUGGUUCUUUUCUUUAUUUUUUCAGUUAUAACAAUGACAUGUCAAGCAGAUCAAGUAUGUACCACACCCCGUGAAGGUGAUUGUUUCCUUGCUGGAUGUCGACAAUGGUGCUCUCAAACUUAUAAUGGUAACGGACAUUGUGAGGCCUAUGGGAAUCCUACUAGUCCUAAAUAUAGAUGUAUUUGCGUACAUAAGUGUUAAGUCUAUAAAAAAAAUAUAGCACAAAUUCUCAAUUUUAAAUGUAAGAGCAUAUCUAAAUAAAUUCAAUAAAAUCAUGGCAUUUAUAA